UUAGCAGUUGAGAUAAAACUGAAACACAAGACAAGCCUCGUCAAUGUUGGUGGGAAAUUGGAUGAAUUUAAAAAACAUCGGAGGGACACGUGGGACAAAGUUUGUGACGUAAGGUUCAGAAUGAAAAUAAUUGGCUACAGAUUAUGCUAUAGUCUGACUCCGUGGAAUCAAAGUAUAUGAUGAGGCGCUAUUAUUUUUCAGGUUUAUAACCUUUCUGAGCUAAGGAACUGUAUGUGAAAGCCGAGCAUCCUGAAAGCUAUGAAGAAAUGUUUCUUCCAUUUAAAAGAAAACAAAGUAGAAGGACAACUCAGAAAAGUCUUUCAAAUUCAUUCCAUAAAGAGUGUGUUAAAACAAAUACUGUUUCACGUGCUUGAAUGCUAUACUUUAGAAGCUGAUAUACACUCAACUAUGACACAGUGAAUGUUAUCUGACUGUAGUAGUAGUAGAAUUGGACUGAGAAAUGAAUAGGAAACUCAGUGGGUUGGAGAGUACUUAAAUGCCGUGGGCCUUUAAGGAAAUUCUACUGAAAUCAAUAUAACUAAGGUAAAAGAAACCUCCAUUUUAAAAAUCUCUGUUUUUCAAAAUUUAAUAUUUGGCACCUCUUUCUUUUAAAAUUUUUUUCAAGUUUUUAUUUACUUUCUUGUUAAUUAACAUGCAGUGGAACAUUAGUUUCAGGUGUAGAAUCUAGUGAUUCAUCACUUACAUACGAUACCCAAUGAUCAUCCCCAACCAGUAGAUUUGACACAUCUUAAAUAAUUACUUAAUUUUCAAAAAUUCUUAUAAAAAAGCUCUCCCAGGUAAACUAUGCAUAGCUUAAAUAUCUGAGUUACCAUCCCAGGCUCCUCUGUGCUAUGGAGUAUAUGGGAAUGCGAUAAUGGGAAUGAGAUUAUGAG
rnacentral:lncRNA from 12 species